GGGCCCGCACAAGUGGUGGAGCAUGUGGUUUAAUUCGACGCUACGCGAAGAACCUUACCUGGGUUUGACAUGCACGGGAAUCUACCAGAGAUGGUAGCGUCCUUCGGGACUCGUGCACAGGUGCUGCAUGGCUGUCGUCAGCUCGUGCCGUGAGGUGUUGGGUUAAGUCCCGCAACGAGCGCAACCCUUACUUUUAGUUGCCAUCGGGUAAUGCCGGGCACUCUAGAGGGACUGCCAGCAUAAGCUGGAGGAAGGUGGGGAUGACGUCAAGUCAGCAUGGCCCUUACGUCCAGGGCUACACACGUGCUACAAUGGCCGGUACAAAGGGCAGCCAACCCGCGAGGGGGAGCGAAUCUCAAAAAACCGGUCUCAGUUCGGAUUGUAGGCUGCAACUCGCCUACAUGAAGUCGGAAUCACUAGUAACCGCAGAUCAGCUACGCUGCGGUGAAUACGUUCCCGGGCCUUGUACACACCGCCCGUCACGUUAUGAAAGUUUGUUGUACCCGAAGUCGCUGGGCUAACCGCAAGGAGGCAGGCGCCGAAGGUAUGAUAGAUGAUUGGAACGAAGUCGUAACAAGGUAGCCGUAUCGGAAGGUGCGGCU
rnacentral:rRNA from 1 species